rnacentral:pre_miRNA from 1 species
GGGCUCUGACCUGAGACCUCUGGGUUCUGAGCUGUGGUGUUGCUCUCGAGCUGGGAUCUCCGGGGUCUUGGUUCAGGGCCG